rnacentral:rRNA from 1 species
AUUGAACGCUGGCGGCAUGCCUUACACAUGCAAGUCGAACGGCAGCACGGGAGCAGUCCUGGUGGCGAGUGGCGAACGGGUGAGUAAAGUAUCGGAACGUGCCCAGUCGUGGGGGAUAACGUAGCGAAAGUUACGCUAAUACCGCAUACGAUCUAUGGAUGAGAGCGGGGGAUCGCAAGACCUCGCGCGAUUGGAGCGGCCGAUAUCAGAUUAGGUAGUUGGUGGGGUAAAGGCUCACCAAGCCGACGAUCUGUAGCUGGUCUGAGAGGACGACCAGCCACACUGGGACUGAGACACGGCCCAGACUCCUACGGGAGGCAGCAGUGGGGAAUUUUGGACAAUGGGCGAAAGCCUGAUCCAGCCAUGCCGCGUGCAGGAUGAAGGCCUUCGGGUUGUAAACUGCUUUUGUACGGAACGAAAAGGUUUGGCCUAAUAAGCUGAGCUCAUGACGGUACCGUAAGAAUAAGCACCGGCUAACUACGUGCCAGCCGCCGCGGUAA